rnacentral:rRNA from 1 species
GACGAACGCUGGCGGCGUGCCUAAUACAUGCAAGUAGAACGCUGAAGGAGGAGCUUGCUCUUCUGGAUGAGUUGCGAACGGGUGAGUAACGCGUAGGUAACCUGCCUGGUAGUGGGGGAUAACUAUUGGAAACGAUAGCUAAUACCGCAUAAUAACAGUUGUUGCAUGACAACUGUUUGAAAGGUGCAAUUGCAUCACUACCAGAUGGACCUGCGUUGUAUUAGCUAGUUGGUGGGGUAACGGCUCACCAAGGCGACGAUACAUAGCCGACCUGAGAGGGUGAUCGGCCACACUGGGACUGAGACACGGCCCAGACUCCUACGGGAGGCAGCAGUAGGGAAUCUUCGGCAAUGGACGGAAGUCUGACCGAGCAACGCCGCGUGAGUGAAGAAGGUUUUCGGAUCGUAAAGCUCUGUUGUAAGAGAAGAACGAGUGUGAGAGUGGAAAGUUCACACUGUGACG